UGGGAAAUUUAUCAAAUGCUUGCUUAAUAUACGUUGACACGCGGAUGAAAAAAAAAUCAUUAUAAAUAUCGCCUACUGUCUAGUUCGUACUCAAAGUUACCGAAAGUUUUUGUGCCGCCGAAGUGUGUAGUAUUAGUUAUAGCUUAGUCAGUUACAAAGUGUAGCAAACAAUUGUGUUAUCAAGUAAGAAAUUAUUCAGCAUUUGAGCCUUAAGGCUAGAAUAGGUACUAAGAGUACUCGAACCAAGAAAAUAUGGAAUACGUUUGGAUAUAUGUACUUAAUAGAACCGGUUCCUAUUCUGUUAAAGUAAUUGGAUGAGAAUUAAUGUACCUAAUUCAAGUGCAACAAAAGAAUUUGGAAUUUUGAGAACCCUUUAACAUUAGGUUGAAUAAAUUACAAUCACAAUUUGCGUCGAAAAUAAUUUGUACAUCGACUUCUUGAUUCAUCGCUCACUGUUGUUAUAAACCAGUGUAAGCCCAAGUACAAAUAUGUGUAACUACAGUUCAGUUUUAGUAUUAUUUUACGCUUUGAUUUUGUUGGCUCAUAUAUCAAAAGGAAAUGGUUUGAAAUGUUAUGAGUGCGGAGGUCACAGUCAAGAUUUGGACGCAGCAACUAAAAAUUGUUUGGACGGGAAUGAAAAAGUCCCUGUACAAGAACGCAUCAUUAAUAAUAACAUUGAAAAGUAUAAAGCUGUGUGUUUCAUGGUCAAUAUCACAUCGAUAGAUGGUUAUUCAUACAUGGUGGGGCGAUCUGGAGUAAAUAAUUUGUCAAGAGAUGAUAAAAAACGCACCAGAUAACGCGUGCAAAGAGGUUUUAGGUGAUAGAAGUAAAAGAGGGGUUUGCAGUUACUGCUUUACAGAUUUCUGCAAUGGUCAGGCCCAGACUGACACAGGUGACAAGGCUAGUGAAAUUGUUGUCGCCGUUAAUACAACUUUUCGAAAAUCCAAUUGACUUAGACGAUAGAUAUUUUUAAGAAACUUUGUUUCGUUAUUUAACGUUAUGUUACGCGUUAUGUUAUUUCGUAUUUAACCAUUAAUAUUGCGACAUUCAAUAUUCAUCCGUCCAAACGACUUAAGCCCCUCUAUGUACUUGACUCGAUGUACUUGCAUUUAAUUGUAUUUUGUACAUCGUGGUAAUAAAACCCACAUUUGCUGGCGA